rnacentral:rRNA from 1 species
UACAGAGGUCUCAAGCGUUGUUCGGAUUCAUUGGGCGUAAAGGGUGCGUAGGUGGCGCGGUAAGUCGGGUGUGAAAUUUCGAGGCUUAACUUCGAAACUGCAUUCGAUACUGCCGUGCUUGAGGACUGGAGAGGAGACUGGAAUUUACGGUGUAGCGGUGAAAUGCGUAGAUAUCGUAAGGAAGACCAGUGGCGAAGGCGGGUCUCUGGACAGUUCCUGACGCUGAGGCACGAAGGUCAGGGGAGCAAACGGG